GUAGGAGCAUGGCUUGCCCGCGAUGCAGGCAACGCGGUGCGUCAGUUAGACCGCGUCGAUACCAUCGCGGGCAAGCCAUGCUCCUAC
rnacentral:antisense_RNA from 1 species